rnacentral:lncRNA from 1 species
UUUUAUGUUAAACACAGUAAAGCUGUUGAAAACUACUUUGGUUUAGGUGCUGAUAUGCUCCUUGUAUGUUUUUGACAUUGCAAUUCAGUCUAGUGACAGAUAUUAGGAUGAACUAGUUCUUUAACAGAGUAUGGUAUGCUUUAUAUAUGCAUUUCAAAGGUAGCGGGUGGCACCUUCUUCCAAAAAACACUAUAUCUGAGUCUACCUAAUUUUACCACUCAUUGUUCUCUCUUUUUUAGGUUGCCAACAUGAUAAGAUUUUUGGUUGAUAGCUAUAACAAACCAAUUCCAGCCAUUCUGGAGAUUCCUUCAAAGGACCAUCCCUAUGAUCCUGCUCAUGACUCCGUACUUUCACGAGUGAAGUAUCUCUUCUCUACUGAAUCAGUGGCAUCUGGAAGGCGUUGAUCCAUGACUCUGUUCUUUCACGAGUGAAGUAUCUCUUCUCUACUGAAUCAGUGGCAUCUGGAAGGCGUUGAUGAUGGUUUGUGUUUCAACAUACUUCAAUCAUUUAAUUCAUAUCUGAAUGUUGUAUUCUAUGUUAUCUUGUGCUCGUACAUUUUUCAUUUUGCAAUCUAUGUUAUUUUCUUACUUUUAAAUUAUCUUUUCUGACAACUUAUUGAAAGCAGUUUCUAAGAGUUACUCUAUGACAGUGAAUAACCUCGUUAUAAACAAGUCAGAAGUUGAGGUGAUGCUUAUUCUUGAUGAAUAAUUUAGCAAUGUCUCGUAUGUAGUGAAUGACUUUUUGGCUUUUUUUAGCUUCUUAAAUUUUCUUAAGAUAUACUUAUUUUGGCCAUUAUUUUCACCUUACCUGUAAUAUUGAGAUCUUAUAUCCACCAUAACUGUUUCAAGGAGUAACAUUUGUCAUGUCUACUUUUGUUCACAUCACAUGGGAAAAUGGCAACACUAUAAGUUGGUGAACUUAGUUAGUCAGUACUAAGCUUGCUAAGCUUCAGCCCACCAUCAUACUGUUACGACGGUUCGUGACACACAUUAUUAUUUUGGUCCUUUAGACUUCAUGGAUUUCUUCUUUGAGCAACAUCAUAUUGAUCUCAAAAUUGAAUAUACCACUUGAAUUUGUUCUAUAUUUAAUCCAAGCACCCACUCCUUCCGCCCUAGACGCGGGAUUCACGUAAG